rnacentral:lncRNA from 1 species
AGUGGGCGUGCAGGAGAAGCUGUAGGUCAGGAGGUAGAGUUGGCAGUGGGCGUGCAGGAGAAGCUGUAGGUCGGAGAGGUAGAGUUGGCAGUGGGCGUGCAGGAGAAGCUGUAGGUCGGAGAGGUAGAGGUGGCAGUGGGCGUGCAGGAGAAGCUGUAGGUCGGAGAGGUAGAGGUGGCAGUGGGCGUGCAGGAGAAGCUGUAGGUCGGGGGGUAGAGGUGGCAGUGGGCGUGCAGGAGAACCUGUAGGUCGG